rnacentral:rRNA from 1 species
AACGAACUCUGGUAUUGAUUGGUGCUUGCAUCAUGAUUUACAUUUGAGUGAGUGGCGAACUGGUGAGUAACACGUGGGAAACCUGCCCAGAAGCGGGGGAUAACACCUGGAAACAGAUGCUAAUACCGCAUAACAACUUGGACCGCAUGGUCCGAGCUUGAAAGAUGGCUUCGGCUAUCACUUUUGGAUGGUCCCGCGGCGUAUUAGCUAGAUGGUGGGGUAAUGGCUCACCAUGGCAAUGAUACGUAGCCGACCUGAGAGGGUAAUCGGCCACAUUGGGACUGAGACACGGCCCAAACUCCUACGGGAGGCAGCAGUAGGGAAUCUUCCACAAUGGACGAAAGUCUGAUGGAGCAACGCCGCGUGAGUGAAGAAGGGUU